GCACCUGAUCCAGCCAUGCCGCGUGUGUGAAGAAGGCCCUCGGGUUGUAAAGCACUUUCAGCGAGGAAGAACGCCUAGCGGUUAAUACCCGCUAGGAAAGACAUCACUCGCAGAAGAAGCACCGGCUAACUCCGUGCCAGCAGCCGCGGUAAUACGGAGGGUGCAAGCGUUAAUCGGAAUUACUGGGCGUAAAGCGCGCGUAGGUGGCUUGAUAAGCCGGUUGUGAAAGCCCCGGGCUCAACCUGGGAACGGCAUCCGGAACUGUCAAGCUAGAGUGCAGGAGAGGAAGGUAGAAUUCCCGGUGUAGCGGUGAAAUGCGUAGAGAUCGGGAGGAAUACCAGUGGCGAAGGCGGCCUUCUGGACUGACACUGACACUGAGGUGCGAAAGCGUGGGUAGCAAACAGGAUUAGAUACCCUGGUAGUCCACGCCGUAAACGAUGUCGACCAGCCGUUGGGUGCCUAGCGCACUUUGUGGCGAAGUUAACGCGAUAAGUCGACCGCCUGGGGAGUACGGCCGCAAGGUUAAAACUCAAAUG
rnacentral:rRNA from 1 species